rnacentral:lncRNA from 1 species
AGCUUUUGAAAAGAAAACCAGCAUCAUAGACUGUGGCCUUCAUACUCCGGAAGGAUAUUUGGACCAGUGGGCUAGCCAGGCUUAUUCCUACCAUGAAGACAAGAAGAAGUGUCCUGUUUCCCUGGUAACAGGAGAACCUCAUUCAUUGAUUUGUACUUCACGCCACCCGGAUUCAUCCCCAUAUCAUCUCUUUCCUGGCUGGUUUCCCUGUGUCUUCAAUCUGAAGAAAGACCAGGAUGCAGGCAGGGAGAAGUCGAAAGAUAGCCUGCAGAAGGAGAAUGAAAUUUGGCUCGAAGUGUGUUUCAAUAAGCCAGGAGUUGCGGUGGCAAUUUUCAUUUUCUUGGCAUCUGAUGGCUUGAACCCUGGGGAGCACCAGCAGGCAACAGUGACCCCUUACCUGAUUGAU